GGGAAUCUUCCGCAAUGGGCGCAAGCCUGACGGAGCAAUACCGCGUGAGGGAAGAAGGCUUUUGGGUUGUAAACCUCUUUUCACAGGGAAGAAGCCAUGACGGUACCUGAGGAAUAAGCAUCGGCUAACUCCGUGCCAGCAGCCGCGGUAAUACGGAGGAUGCAAGCGUUAUCCGGAAUUAUUGGGCGUAAAGCGUCCGCAGGUGGCUAGUCAAGUCUGCCGUCAAAGACAGAAGCUUAACUUCUGGAAGGCGGUGGAAACGGGCGAGCUAGAGUACGGUAGGGGUAGAGGGAAUUCCCAGUGUAGCGGUGAAAUGCGUAGAGAUUGGGAAGAACACCAGUGGCGAAAGCGCUCUACUGGGCCUGUACUGACACUGAGGGACGAAAGCUAGGGGAGCGAAAGGGAUUAGAUACCCCUGUAGUC
rnacentral:rRNA from 1 species